GCUUACGGCCAUACACCCUGAACACGCCGUCGCGAUCUCGGAAGCUAACGCAGGGUCGGGCCUGGUUAGUACUUGGAUGGGAGACCGCCUGGGAAUACCAGGUGCUGUAAGUU
rnacentral:rRNA from 1 species